AACAAACGCUGGCGGCAUGCUUAACACAUGCAAGUCGAACGAGAAAGUCCUCUUCGGAGGGCGAGUAAAGUGGCGAUCGGGUGAGUAACACGUAAGAACCUGCCCUCAGGUCUGGGAUAACACCGCGAAAGUGGUGCUAAUACCAGAUGAUAUCGCAAGAUCAAAGAAGGCUUAUGGCUUUUACCUGGGGAGGGGCUUGCGGCCCAUUAGCUAGUUGGUGAGGUAAUGGCUCACCAAGGCUACGAUGGGUAGCCGGCCUGAGAGGGUGUACGGCCACACUGGAACUUAGACACGGUCCAGACUCCUACGGGAGGCAG
rnacentral:rRNA from 1 species